GAUGAACGCCGGCGGUGUGCCUAAUACAUGCAAGUCGAGCGCACUGGCCCAACUGAUAUGACGUGCUUGCACUGAUUUGACGAUGGAUUACCAGUGAGCGGCGGACGGGUGAGUAACACGUGGGCAACCUGCCCCAAAGCGGGGGAUAACAUUUGGAAACAGGUGCUAAUACCGCAUAACUCCGAAAACCACAUGGUUUUCGGAUAAAAGAUGGUUUCGGCUAUCACUUUGGGAUGGGCCCGCGGUGCAUUAGCUAGUUGGUAAGGUAACGGCUUACCAAGGCAAUGAUGCAUAGCCGAGUUGAGAGACUGAUCGGCCACAAUGGAACUGAGACACGGUCCAUACUCCUACGGGAGGCAGCAGUAGGGAAUCUUCCACAAUGGGCGCAAGCCUGAUGGAGCAACACCGCGUGAGUGAAGAAGGGUUUCGGCUCGUAAAACUCUGUUGUUGAAGAAGAACGUGCGUGAGAGUAACUGUUCACGCAGUGACGGUAUUCAACCAGAAAGUCACGGCUAACUACGUGCCAGCAGCCGCGGUAAUACGUAGGUGGCAAGCGUUAUCCGGAUUUAUUGGGCGUAAAGCGAGCGCAGGCGGUUACUUAGGUCUGAUGUGAAAGCCUUCGGCUUAACCGAAGAAGUGCAUCGGAAACCGGGCGACUUGAGUGCAGAAGAGGACAGUGGAACUCCAUGUGUAGCGGUGGAAUGCGUAGAUAUAUGGAAGAACACCAGUGGACUCCAUGUGUAGCGGUGGAAUGCGUAGAUAUAUGGAAGAACACCAGUGGGCAACUGACGCUGAGGCUCGAAAGCAUGGGUAGCGAACAGGAUUAGAUACCCUGGUAGUCCAUGCCGUAAACGAUGAGUGCUAGGUGUUGGAGGGUUUCCGCCCUUCAGUGCCGCAGCUAACGCAUUAAGCACUCCGCCUGGGGAGUACGACCGCAAGGUUGAAACUCAAAGGAAUUGACGGGGGCCCGCACAAGCGGUGGAGCAUGUGGUUUAAUUCGAAGCUACGCGAAGAACCUUACCAGGUCUUGACAUCUUGCGCUAACCUAAGAGAUUAGGCGUCCCCUUCGGGGACGCAAUGACAGGUGGUGCAUGGUCGUCGUCAGCUCGUGUCGUGAGAUGUUGGGUUAAGUCCCGCAACGAGCGCAACCCUUGUUACUAGUUGCCAGCAUUCAGUUGGGCACUCUAGUGAGACUGCCGGUGACAAACCGGAGGAAGGUGGGGACGACGUCAGAUCAUCAUGCCCCUUAUGACCUGGGCUACACACGUGCUACAAUGGCCGGUACAACGAGCAGCUAACCCGCGAGGGUGUGCAAAUCUCUUAAAGCCGGUCUCAGUUCGGACUGCAGUCUGCAACUCGACUGCACGAAGUCGGAAUCGCUAGUAAUCGCGGAUCAGCAUGCCGCGGUGAAUACGUUCCCGGGCC
rnacentral:rRNA from 1 species